rnacentral:rRNA from 1 species
GGGUUGUGAGGUUAAGCGACUAAGCGUACACGGUGGAUGCCCUGGCAGUCAGAGGCGAUGAAGGACGUGCUAAUCUGCGAAAAGCGUCGGUAAGGUGAUAUGAACCGUUAUAACCGGCGAUGUCCGAAUGGGGAAACCCAGUGCAAUUCGUUGCACUAUCGUUAACUGAAUACAUAGGUUAACGAGGCGAACCGGGGGAACUGAAACAUCUAAGUACCCCGAGGAAAAGAAAUCAACCGAGAUUCCCCCAGUAGCGGCGAGCGAACGGGGAGCAGCCCAGAGUCUGAAUCAGCUUGUGUGUUAGUGGAACGGUCUGGAAAGUCCGACGGUACAGGGUGAUAGUCCCGUACACCAAAAUGCACAGGUUGUGAACUCGAAGAGUAGGGCGGGACACGUGGUAUCCUGUCUGAAUAUGGGGACCAUCCUCCAAGGCUAAAUACUCCUGACUGACCGAUAGUGAACCAGUACCGUGAGGGAAAGGCGAAAAGAACCCCGGCGAGGGAGUGAAAAGAACCUGAAACCGUGUACGUACAAGCAGUGGGAGCACCUUCGGGUGUGACUGCGUACCUUUGUAUAAUGGGUCAGCGACUUAUAUUCUGUAGCAAGGUUAACCGUAUAGGGAGCCGCAGGAAACCGAGUCUUAACUGGGCGUUAAGUUGCAGGGUAUAGACCCGAAACCCGGUGAUCUAGCCAUGGGCAGGUUGAAGGUUGGGUAACACUAACUGGAGGACCGAACCGACUAAUGUUGAAAAAUUAGCGGAUGACUUGUGGCUGGGGUGAAAGGCCAAUCAAACCGGGAGAUAGCUGGUUCUCCCGAAAGCUAUUUAGGUAGCGCCUCGUGAACUCAUCUUCGGGGGUAGAGCACUGUUUCGGCUAGGGGGUCAUCCCGACUUACCAACCCGAUGCAAACUACGAAUACCGAAGAAUGUUAUCACGGGAGACACACGGCGGGUGCUAACGUCCGUCGUGAAGAGGGAAACAACCCAGACCGCCAGCUAAGGUCCCAAAGUCAUGGUUAAGUGGGAAACGAUGUGGGAAGGCACAGACAGCCAGGAUGUUGGCUUAGAAGCAGCCAUCAUUUAAAGAAAGCGUAAUAGCUCACUGGUCGAGUCGGCCUGCGCGGAAGAUGUAACGGGGCUAAACCAUGCACCGAAGCUGCGGCAGCGACACUAUGUGUUGUUGGGUAGGGGAGCGUUCUGUAAGCCUGCGAAGGUGUGCUGUGAGGCAUGCUGGAGGUAUCAGAAGUGCGAAUGCUGACAUAAGUAACGAUAAAGCGGGUGAAAAGCCCGCUCGCCGGAAGACCAAGGGUUCCUGUCCAACGUUAAUCGGGGCAGGGUGAGUCGACCCCUAAGGCGAGGCCGAAAGGCGUAGUCGAUGGGAAACAGGUUAAUAUUCCUGUACUUGGUGUUACUGCGAAGGGGGGACGGAGAAGGCUAUGUUAGCCGGGCGACGGUUGUCCCGGUUUAAGCAUGUAGGCUGGUUGUCCAGGCAAAUCCGGAUAAUCAAGGCUGAGGUGUGAUGACGAGGCACUACGGUGCUGAAGUAACAAAUGCCCUGCUUCCGUGAAAGCCUCUAAGCAUCAGGUAACAUUAAAUCGUACCCCAAACCGACACAGGUGGUCAGGUAGAGAAUACCAAGGCGCUUGAGAGAACUCGGGUGAAGGAACUAGGCAAAAUGGUGCCGUAACUUCGGGAGAAGGCACGCUGGUGUGUAGGUGAAGCCCCUGCGGGUGGAGCUGAGACCAGUCGAAGAUACCAGCUGGCUGCAACUGUUUAUUAAAAACACAGCACUGUGCAAACACGAAAGUGGACGUAUACGGUGUGACGCCUGCCCGGUGCCGGAAGGUUAAUUGAUGGGGUUAUCCGUAAGGAGAAGCUCUUGAUCGAAGCCCGGUAAACGGCGGCCGUAACUAUAACGGUCCUAAGGUAGCGAAAUUCCUUGUCGGGUAAGUUCCGACCUGCACGAAUGGCGUAAUGAUGGCGGGCUGUCUCCACCCGAGACUCAGUGAAAUUGAACUCGCUGUGAAGAUGCAGUGUACCCGCGGCAAGACGGAAAGACCCCGUGAACCUUUACUAUAGCUUGACACUGAACAUUGAGCCUUGAUGUGUAGGAUAGGUGGGAGGCUUUGAAGCGUGGACGCCAGUCUGCGUGGAGCCAACCUUGAAAUACCACCCUUUAAUGUUUGAUGUUCUAACGUUGGCCCUUACCGGGGUUGCGGACAGUGUCUGGUGGGUAGUUUGACUGGGGCGGUCUCCUCCCAAAGCGUAACGGAGGAGCACGAAGGUUAGCUAAUCUGGUCGGACAUCAGGAGGUUAGUGCAAUGGCAUAAGCUAGCUUGACUGCGAGCGUGACGGCGCGAGCAGGUGCGAAAGCAGGUCAUAGUGAUCCGGUGGUUCUGAAUGGAAGGGCCAUCGCUCAACGGAUAAAAGGUACUCCGGGGAUAACAGGCUGAUACCGCCCAAGAGUUCAUAUCGACGGCGGUGUUUGGCACCUCGAUGUCGGCUCAUCACAUCCCGGGCUGAAGUAGGUCCCAAGGGUAUGGCUGUUCGCCAUUUAAAGUGGUACGCGAGCUGGGUUUAGAACGUCGUGAGACAGUUCGGUCCCUAUCUGCCGUGGGCGCUGGAGAAUUGAGGGGGGCUGCUCCUAGUACGAGAGGACCGGAGUGGACGCAUCACUGGUGUUCGGGUUGUCAUGCCAAUGGCACUGCCCGGUAGCUAAAUGCGGAAGAGAUAAGUGCUGAAAGCAUCUAAGCACGAAACUUGCCCCGAGAUGAGUUCUCCUGAGACUUUAAGUCUCCUGAAGGAACGUUGAAGACGACGACGUUGAUAGGCCGGGUGUGUAAGCGCAGCGAUGCGUUGAGCUAACCGGUACUAAUGAACCGUGAGGCUUAACCUUACAACGCCGAAG